rnacentral:rRNA from 1 species
UACAGAGGGGGCAAGCGUUGUUCGGAAUUACUGGGCGUAAAGGGCGCGUAGGCGGCCUGUUAAGUCGAACGUGAAAUCCCUGGGCUCAACCCAGGAACUGCGUCCGAUACUGGCAGGCUUGAAUUCGGGAGAGGGAUGCGGAAUUCCAGGUGUAGCGGUGGAAUGCGCAGAUAUCAGGAGGAACACCAACGGCGAAGGCAGCUCGCUGGGACGGUACUGACACUGAGGCGCGAAAGCGUGGGGAGCAAACAGG